GAUCCACUAGCUCAGUUGGUAGAGCACCUGACUUUUAAUCAGGGUGUCCCGCGUUCGAGUCGCGGGUGGAUCACCA
rnacentral:tRNA from 3 species